GACGAACGCUGGCGGCGUGCUUAACACAUGCAAGUCGAACGGAAAGGCCCUGCUUUUGUGGGGUGCUCGAGUGGCGAACGGGUGAGUAACACGUGAGUAACCUGCCCUUGACUUUGGGAUAACUUCAGGAAACUGGGGCUAAUACCGGAUAGGAGCUCCUGCUGCAUGGUGGGGGUUGGAAAGUUUCGGCGGUUGGGGAUGGACUCGCGGCUUAUCAGCUUGUUGGUGGGGUAGUGGCUUACCAAGGCUUUGACGGGUAGCCGGCCUGAGAGGGUGACCGGCCACAUUGGGACUUAAAUACCGGCCAGACUCCUACGGGAGGCAGCAGUGGGGAAUAUUGCACAAUGGGCGGAAGCCUGAUGCAGCAACGCCGCGUGCGGGAUGACGGCCUUCGGGUUGUAAACCGCUUUCGCCUGUGACGAAGCGUGAGUGACGGUAAUGGGUAAAGAAGCACCGGCUAACUACGUG
rnacentral:rRNA from 1 species